rnacentral:lncRNA from 1 species
CGCAGAAUUCUGCAAAUGCAGAGUUUGCAAACUUUGAUGCAUUUGGACAGUCUAGUGGUUCGAGUAAUUUUGGAGUUUCCCACAGCAAGUCACUCUCCUUUUCAGCCCCAAACUACAGGUGGAAGUGCUGGAUCAGUAAAUGCUAAUUUUGCUCAUUUUGAUAACUUCCCCAAAUCCUCCAGUGCUGAUUUUGGAUCCUUCAGUACAUCCCAGAGUCAUCAGACAGCAUCAACUGUUAGUAAAGUUUCAACAAACAAAGCUGGUUUACAGACAGCAGACAAAUAUGCGGCACUUGCUAAUUUAGACAAUAUCUUCAGUGCUGGGCAAGGAGGUGAUCAAGGGAGUGGUUUUGGGACCACCGGUAAAGCUCCUGUUGGUUCUGUGGUUUCAGUUCCCAGUCAUUCAAGUGCAUCUUCUGACAAGUAUGCAGCCCUGGCAGAGUUAGACAGCGUGUUCAGUUCUGCAGCCACCUCCAAUAAUGCGUACACAUCCACCAGUAAUGCUAGCAGUGUCUUUGGAACAGUGCCUGUGGGUGCCUCUCCUCAGACACAGCCUGCUUCAAGUGGGCCUGCUCCAUUUGGAGCUACGCCUUCUACGAAUCCAUUUGUUGCUGCUACUGGUCCGUCUGCAGCGUCAUCUACAAAUCCAUUUCAGACCAAUGCCAGAGGAGCAACAGCGGCAACCUUUGGCACUGCAUCUAUGAGUAUGCCAGCAGGAUUUGGCACUCCUGCUCAGUACAGUCUCCCCACCAGCUUUAGCGGCAGUUUCCAGCAGCCUCCCUUCCCAGCCCAAGCAGCUUUCCCUCAGCAGACAGCCUUUUCUCAGCAGCCCAAUGGUGCAGGUUUCGCCACAUUUGGACAAACAAAACCAGUGGUAACACCUUUUGGUCAAGUAGCAGCUGCUGGAGUGUCUAGUAAUCCUUUUAUGACUGGUGCACCAACAGGACAAUUUCCAACAGGAAGCUCAUCAACCAAUCCUUUCUUAUAGCCUUAUAUAGACACUGUACUGGAACGAACUUUUAUGUCAUCAUAUUACAUCUC